rnacentral:misc_RNA from 1 species
UGUUCUGCAGUGCUGGAUUUGGACCUACAAUAUCAAAAACAGGAUGAGGCAAUUAAGAAGAAUGUCUCAUGAUAGCAAUUUGCUGACACAGUUUUCCAGAAAGCCAGUUUGUUUCAAAAUUAAACUAUUUCCAUGGUUUUCCUGAACACAAUUUUAAAUCUAUGCAAUACUAAAAAUAAAGGAUAUUUAUUUGUGAAGCUAAUUAAAGAGACCUUCCCUAAUUUUGAGCACUUUGCCUGGAUUCUAUUUGUUGGAAAACGCUUAUUAAAUAAAGUCCCUGUUUUUAUUAAGUUUUAUUUCUUUUAGUUAUCUUCUUCCUUUUCCUAGUUAGUCUAGAAUUCUUGUUGUAUCUAGAUUUCUCGUGUAUAAAUAGGAAGAGUGUGUAAAGCAUAUUGAUAUUGAAUACAAUAAUAUAUACUAAUUUUCCUCAAAAACCAGUCUGUUCAACAUACUAUCAAAGCUCUGCCAUCUUUCAUUGGUGUGAGCAAUCAGAGUUAGGGUUAGGGCUUGCUUGGGUCAAGCUUCUAGGCGACAUCUACAAGGGGAGUUGAAGUACACUGCCUACCUCUCUGUCCCCGGAGAUUUGCCGUCAUCUGGUUACACGAGUGACCUCAUGCGCCGCUGCAAGUUCCGGCGUCAUUCCCAAACGCCAGUGCGUGAAACAUUGCCCAGAGAUUUUUUCUGGCCGUUCUCUUUUCCAACGGCCUUCCCUAAGAGUUGCGCCUCCACUUAGCAAGUUUCCUGCAUCUAGUUAGCUCUUUGUUACCUAGACAUAUUGUUUUUGAACAAGUUCUGUAAUUUUUUUUGGGGUACUGUUACUCUAUAGAUUUUUCAGUACCAAUAUUCCUUUUUUAUUAAAAAUGGCUGGGAGGAAAAAGGAGAUUUCAAAAACUAAGAUGGGUAAUAUAACUGACAAUCAUUCUUUACAAAUCAGUCCCAUAAAGCUUCACGGUACUAAUUAUCUUGCGUGAUUAAGAUCCUGUUCAUUGUUCAUUCAGGCUGGAGGACUGCAAGGAUACGUCACCGGAGAUAAAUCAAAAUUGGAAACUGUAAGUACCACUUAUAGCCAGUGGGAAUCGGAGAAUUCCCCUAUUAUGUCUUGGCUUAUUAAUUCGAUGCAACCUCAGAUAGUACGUGGAUAUUUGCUGUUGAAUAGUACAACAGCUAUUUGGAAUGCAAUUUCCCAAACCUAAUCUCAGAUGCGCAAUGAUGCACAAAUUUAUGAGCUUCAGAACAAGGUUCAUAAUACAGCACAAGUUUCAUAAUACGAAACACGGUGAGAUAAUCAUUGCUUAAUACUUUGCAAAAUUAAGUGUUUUAUGGCAAGAAUUGGACUACUAUCAGGAUUUUCAAGCCACAUGUACUGCCGAUUCUGUUAAGUUCUAGAAACAGAUUGAAAAAGAGCGAAUUUAUGACUUUCUUGCUAGGUUGAAGAUAGAGUAUGAUCAGAUUCGAGUCCAAAUACUUGGUAGGGAUCCCAUGUUAGAACUUGCACUAAACAUCCUAUAUUCAAGUUUGUUUCCUAUGAUUCCUUAUCUCCCUCCUAUAAAGCAUUUGUUUUAUCUAUUUCUUCUAUUUCUAUCCCACAGGAUUGGAAGAGAACAUAUCUUAAUCCAAAAUGGUAGGCAGUCAUGGUAAAGGAAAUGAAGGCAUUGGCAAAAAAUGAAAUAUGAGAUCUUGUUACUCUUCCAUUGGGGAAGAAAGUAGUU